AUUGAACGCUGGCGGAAUGCUUUACACAUGCAAGUCGAACGGCAGCACGGGGGCAACCCUGGUGGCGAGUGGCGAGCGGGUGAGUAAUACAUCGGAACGUGCCCAGUCGUGGGGGAUAACGUAGCGAAAGCUACGCUAAUACCGCAUACGAUCUACGGAUGAAAGCGGGGGAUCGCAAGACCUCGCGCGAUUGGAGCGGCCGAUGGCAGAUUAGGUAGUUGGUGGGGUAAAGGCUCACCAAGCCAACGAUCUGUAGCUGGUCUGAGAGGACGACCAGCCACACUGGGACUGAGACACGGCCCAGACUCCUACGGGAGGCAGCAGUGGGGAAUUUUGGACAAUGGGCGCAAGCCUGAUCCAGCCAUUCCGCGUGCAGGAUGAAGGCCCUCGGGUUGUAAACUGCUUUUGUACGGAACGAAACGGCGCUUUCUAAUACAGAGCGCUAAUGACGGUACCGUAAGAAUAAGCACCGGCUAACUACGUGCCAGCCGCCGCCGUAACAC
rnacentral:rRNA from 1 species